UUUCCGGCAAGAUGAUUACGUAGUGAGCCCUGGAACGUGGAAGAAACGUCUCAGACACGAAGCAGUGCCAUCAAUUUUUGACUUUCCGACACAUUUGAUGCCACCAAAUAAACAGCCACGACGACAUGUUAGGAUUUUGAGUGACAACGAUGCUUCUCCAUUUGAGCGUUCUGUCCUGGAAUCCGUGCUUGAUUUGCCCUCUGCAGAAGCUACUGAUUGCGUGGAGAAUUUUGUCAAUGAGAAUUCUUCCGUGGAAAGCAUGUCCCAUUUAUCCAAUGCAGAAGCUGCGAAUUGUGUCGAAAUCAGUGCAGUUGGUUCUCAAGUAAUUGAUUGUGGUAUACAGUCGAAAGUAGAAAUGGAAGACAAGGCGACCAAAACUUGCAAUUUUUUCUCAGACAUUGUGCACAAAUUAAAACGUUAACUGAAAUGUGAAGUGUGUCCGUGAAAAACUUCGAAGAAGAGAGAAGAAAGUGUUUUCCAUGGAUGACAUCAUAAGUUCAUUGAAGGAGAAGGGGCAUCUUCCUGAGAAGUUACAUAACUUCUUCAAUCAUCAGAAAGGAACACAAGUGGAAUUAGUGUGCAAUUUAGUGGACAACUCUCUCUCGUCAAAGGGUAAUAGA